GUUGUAUGGUUAAGUGACUAAGCGUACACGGUGGAUGCCUUGGCAGUCAGAGGCGAUGAAAGACGUAGUAACUUGCGAUAAGCCCAGAUUAGGUAGUAACAACCAUUUGAGUCUGGGAUUUCUGAAUGGGGAAACCCACUUACAUAAGUAAGUAUCAUUAACUGAAUACAUAGGUUAAUGAGGCGAACCGGGGGAACUGAAACAUCUAAGUACCCCGAGGAAAAGAAAUCAACCGAGAUUCCGAAAGUAGCGGCGAGCGAAAUUGGACUAGCCCUUAAGCUUUACACGCGUUAGACGAACGGUCUGGAAAGUCCGACGAUACAGGGUGAUAGUCCCGUAGUUGACGACGUGUGUUCAGUGAAAUCGAGUAGGGCGGGACACGUGAUAUCCUGUCUGAAUAUGGGGGG
rnacentral:rRNA from 1 species